GAUGAACGCUGGCGGCGUGCCUAAUACAUGCAAGUCGAGCGAACAGACGAGGAGCUUGCUCCUCUGACGUUAGCGGCGGACGGGUGAGUAACACGUGGAUAACCUACCUAUAAGACUGGGAUAACUUCGGGAAACCGGAGCUAAUACCGGAUAAUAUAUUGAACCGCAUGGUUCAAUAGUGAAAGACGGUUUUGCUGUCACUUAUAGAUGGAUCCGCGCCGCAUUAGCUAGUUGGUAAGGUAACGGCUUACCAAGGCAACGAUGCGUAGCCGACCUGAGAGGGUGAUCGGCCACACAGGAACUGAGACACGGUCCAGACUCCUACGGGAGGCAGCAGUAGGGAAUCUUCCGCAAUGGGCGAAAGCCUGACGGAGCAACGCCGCGUGAGUGAUGAAGGUCUUCGGAUCGUAAAACUCUGUUAUUAGGGAAGAACAAAUGUGUAAGUAACUAUGCACGUCUUGACGGUACCUAAUCAGAAAGCCACGGCGAACUACGG
rnacentral:rRNA from 1 species